UAGUGCAGUGAGCAAAAGAGCAACAGGAGCCCGACAGGCUUUCCCUGAUUCCCAGGGCAGCCCCUCCAAAGCAAGCAGGACAAAAUGAGGGCAGUGCAGGGGAGCCAAGGGAGCCUUCAGCAGAGGAGGGACAGAGCUUGUAGGACCUGUGUGGGAUUACACAGAGCACAGGUCUCAAGACCAGUUUUCUUCCUUCUUGCUGAGAAGUUGCUGCUGGGAUUAAAAAGACAUCGGGCAAAUCAUCAGUAUGAAAGAGACACGCUGAGAAGAGAGCAGAUUAACCCACACUGCAGAGAAAACUCCUCAUUUCUGGAGUGUUUGUUUUGAAAAUGUCACUUCAACGGGUCACAGGAUUCAUGAAUAAAAUCCCAUCCUUAUUUCCAUUCAAAAAGGAAUAAAGAUUUAUUACCCAGCCUCGACAGGCAAGAAGUAUUGACCCACCAAUGAGUCAAGGUCUAUGGUAUUGCAUGCAGAUAUAUUUAUUGCUUUUAAUUACCAUAAAAUAGCAAGCAACUUUUUAAAAUAAUUUUUAUUACUAUUGUUUUAUUGUACUGUGGGAAAAAAAAAAACUGGAAUUGCCAGCAAAGCUUCCUGAGAAUACAAGGUGAUGGAAUGAAAGACAGCUUGAUGCUGAUGGGUUAAAUAAAAGGUCACUGCCACUCAAGAGAUCUUACCAGCACAUUGGUAAACCUGCUUUGAAGCAUCAUUUACCCCAUUUUACUGGUGAAAAAAAACCCAAACAGGGAGUACCCCUAAAGAUCUCCAAAGAAACUACCUGGGAUUCCUAGGGGGUUAAUAAGAAACUGAACAUCCUUCUGCUG